rnacentral:rRNA from 1 species
CACGUAGGGGGCGAGCGUUGUCCGGAAUCAUUGGGCGUAAAGAGCUCGUAGGCGGCUCGGUAAGUCGGGUGUGAAACCCCCAGGCUCAACCUGGGGACGCCACCCGAUACUGCUGUGGCUAGAGUCCAGUAGGGGAGUGUGGAAUUCCCGGUGUAGCGGUGAAAUGCGUAGAUAUCGGGAGGAACGCCGGUGGCGAAAGCGACUGUCUGGGGUGCCUGUGACGCUGAGGCGCGAAAGCCAGGGGAUCAAACGGG